UCCUACGGGAGGCAGCAGUGGGGAAUAUUGCACAAUGGGCGCAAGCCUGAUGCAGCCAUGCCGCGUGUAUGAAGAAGGCCUUAGGGUUGUAAAGUACUUUCAGCGGGGAGGAAGGUGAUAAAGUUAAUACCUUUAUCAAUUGACGUUACCCGCAGA
rnacentral:rRNA from 1 species